rnacentral:rRNA from 1 species
UUAUGAUCCUUAAAGUUAAAGAAUUUGGCGGUAAUUAAGUCUUUUUAGAGGAACCUGUUCUUUUAUUGAUAAUCCACGAUUGAUUUUACUUUAUUUUGAUUUGUAUAUCUCUGUCAAUGAAUGUAUUAUAAGAUUAAUUUUCUUUAUUUUUUGGGAAUUGAUGUUAGGUCAAGGUGCAGUUUAUAAUAAAGUAGAAAUGGGUUACAAUGAUUUAUUUUGAAUAAUUUUAUGAAAUUAAAAUUUGAAAUUGGAUUUAAAAGUAAUAUUUAAUAAAUAUUAAUAUUGAUUUUAGCUCUUAAUUAU